CUCAGGAUGAACGCUAGCGAUAGGCCUAACACAUGCAAGUCGAGGGGCAGCAUAAAUGUAGCAAUACAUUUGAUGGCGACCGGCGCACGGGUGAGUAACACGUAUGCAACCUACCUACUACAAGGGGAUAGCCCGGAGAAAUUCGGAUUAAUACCCUAUAACACAACCGUUCCGCAUGGGAUAGUUGUUAAAGAUUUAUCGGUAGUAGAUGGGCAUGCGUUCCAUUAGGUAGUUGGCGAGGUAACGGCUCACCAAGCCUGCGAUGGAUAGGGGAACUGAGAGGUUUAUCCCCCACACUGGAACUGAGACACGGACCAGACUCCUACGGGAGGCAGCAGUGAGGAAUAUUGGUCAAUGGACGCAAGUCUGAACCAGCCAAAUCGCGUGAAGGAAGACUGCCUUAUGGGUUGUAAACUUCUUUUAUAAGGGAAUAAAAAGAGAUACGUGUAUCUUAUUGCAUGUACCUUAUGAAUAAGCAUCGGCUAACUCCGUGCCAGCAGCCGCGGUAAUACGGAGGAUGCGAGCGACCCGGGCUUGAAAUGUACUUGAAUAAUUUGGAAACAGAUUAGCUAGCAAUAGCAAGUAUGUAGGUGCUGCAUGGUUGUCGUCAGCUCGUGCCGUGAGGUGUCGGCUUAAGUGCCAUAACGAGCGCAACCCACAUUAUUAGUUACUAACAGGUUAAGCUGAGGACUCUAAUAAGACUGCCAGCGUAAGCUGUGAGGAAGGUGUGGAUGACGUCAAAUCAGCACGGCCCUUACGUCCGGGGCGACACACGUGUUACAAUGGGUGGUACAAAGGGCCGCUACUGGGCGGCCAGAUGCUAAUCUCUAAAACCACUCCCAGUUCGGAUCGGAGUCUGCAACUCGACUCCGUGAAGCUGGAUUCGCUAGUAAUCGCGCAUCAGCCAUGGCGCGGUGAAUACGUUCCCGGGCCUUGUACACACCGCCCGUCAAGACCAUGGAAGUUGGGGGUACCUGAAGUACGUAACCGNCAAGGAGCGUCCUAGGGUAAAACUGAUA
rnacentral:rRNA from 1 species